rnacentral:lncRNA from 1 species
UCAACUUCAACUCAAAUAUUGUCCAGAUGCUUACUCUUCACAAACUUGUAGGUAGUUGUUUUCAACCUCAAACGCCUGCGAAUUUUCACUUUAGUUAAAAAGGUAAUUUUAGCGCAGAUAAUCAGAAUAUUUAACAAGAAAGAGAUGAACAAGAAGUGAAUAUAUGAUGGGAAUUCUUGAGAUUCUCCACCCAAAAAUAUGCUCUUCUUUUUUUUUCUAAACCCAAAAUAUAUAUAUUCUAUGCCCCUUUUUUGGUCCCAAGAGCCAAAUGCUGGCAUUCAAUUUUAUUUUCCUUGAAUAUUCUCGUGGAUUGUUUGAAGGGGAAAAAGAAUGAAAGUGACAAACUGUUUUGUUUGACUUUAGAGAUAGGUACCAAAAUUCUUUACUCUUUAUCUUUUUAUCACUUAAUUUGUGCACUUUCAAAGAACAACAUUAUUUCAGGUGUGGAAUUUAGUGUUGAGGAGGUAAACAUUUUUCUAAAACUGAUUUUAUAUCAAAUCAGCAAAUCUUAGACCCUUGACCUAUUGAAUUAUUGUGGUUUUGCAUCAUUAAAAUAUAUGUAUACCAAAACCAUCAAAGCUUGGAAAAUUCAUGAAUUCUUGCCCAACUAAUUACUCUGUUUAAAAGGAGUACUAUGCUUUCUGUCAGAGUAGGGAGGUAUAGAAGAUAUUUUAUUAUUUAUUUUGUUUAAAAAAACUGCUUUAAAAGGGUACUAUAUUUUUCCUUCUUUUUUGCCAGUUUUAAUAUUUUAUAUUAACAUCGUAAAGACAAAAGAUAGCAAGGAAUGACCUAUAUUUUUUUUGUUUUUUUUUGUUUAGUAUGAACAAAGUAGCAUCCACGUGUUAGAUCACUGGUUUUAUUAUAGUUAAUAGGGAAAAAAGUUAUCUCAAUUAUAAUAUGGGUCUCAUCGAGUAACUAUUUUUCUAAAAAAAUACUAGAAAACUUUAAUUUCUUAAAGUUGCAAUACUCUCCUCCCUUUCACGUUUUAACUAAUUUCUGCGAAGACUAUUUGAGAACUGAAUCACCACGAUUAGAUUUAAUUUCUAUCUUAGCUUAACUCAUACUAUUAAGAUAUUUACUAACGCAAUUGAUUCGGCUUCUGGAUCUCUAAUGAAGACUGAACGAAUUUCAAGCAUCUCAUUACACUCUUUCGUAAUUAAGAAAUUAAUUUUAAUCUGGGUUGCCAUGAAUAUCACCACAUACCAAUACGUCAUGCAUUUUUUCUUUUUAUUUAUUUAUGAAAGAUCCUUUUUUUUCCUUUUCAUUUUUGUAUAUGCUGGUUGUCAUAAAGUCGGGCUAGUUCCACAGCAUCACGUCAAUAUUGGGCGGCAAUGUAAAGCACGAAUAAUGCUCUAUCUUUCUAUAAUUCAUCACCGUCCAUAAAACAACAUUCGUUCUGCUUCAUCUUCUUCUUCUUUUCUUCUUUCUUUAUCCUAUUUUCAUAAUAAUACCUUAAAAGACUUUGAGAAGUAGCACUUUCCCUUUCCAAUUGGGCUAUGCUGGUUAGGGGUGUACAUAAUUCGGGCUGGUUCAGAUUUUAUAAUUAUCAAAGCAAACUAAUUAUAUCGGGUUAUUAAAUUUAAAGACCAAAUCAAACCAAUAAAAAUUGGGUUUUUUAAUCUCGAUUUUUCUUAGUUUUUUCGGAUUAUUCCGUGUUAUUUAAUAAACAUAAUAUAAAAGUACUAGUCAUGCUAAAAUAAGUAUGACUAAUAAGUACUAUUAAUUACAUGAUUAAACACUAAAGAAAAAAAUAAAAAUAAGUUAUGCAUUUUAUCUAAACCAUGGAAAAACUAUUGUCAUUCCUAGUAUUGAAUUAAGAGAAAUUUUCAUAAGCACUAUCUUUUAGUGGUAAUUAGCUAUCUAUAGAUAUCAUUUGCUAUAUUACGGAUUGUAGAUACAUUUUCUGUUGUUAUAAGAUGUAUUAAAUGUAUUUAAGCUAUUGUAUUCAUGAAUACAAUAGCAAAAAUAGGCGUGAAUCAGGGAAGUCCAGCUAAUCAGUUGUUGUAUUCGAGUGUAUUCGACUGUAUUCAUGGCGUGAAAUAUGGGAUUACAGCUGGACAAAUUAUUGUAUUCGACUGUAUUCACGGCGUGAAACAGGGAGUUACACUGUUUUUUAAACGGAAGGUGAAUCAAUUAACAUAAUGGACUCCUAAUAUAACUCAACAAACUCAAUUAUAACACACAAAUUUUGUAUUUUUCAGUUAUAAAAAAGAUUCUCAACCGAAUAAUACCCCAAAAAUAUAGCAAUCUUCAGAGAAAUUAUAUAAUAUAUCUGAAUACAUAAAUUAUAUUAGUUAAAAAAUAUAUGAAUGCAUUCAUGGCAUAUAGCGAGACAGUAAAUACAAUAAAAUACAUAGAAUACAACGGGAUACAUUGAAAUACAAUAAAAAAAGACAGUGAAUACAAUGAAAUACAUGGAAUACAACGAGAUACAUUGAAUUACAAUGAAAAAAAGACAAUAAAUACAAUGAAAUACAUAAAAAUAUAGCUUGAUACGUUAAAAAUACAUUGAAAUACAGCAUGAUACGUUGAAAGAGUAAACGACAAAAAUCUGUUGUGUUUACUUAGUUAAGAAGAAGAGAUGAUUGAUUGAGAAAAUCCAUUUACAAUUAACAACUCCACCUACCAAUCUCCAAAAAUAAACGACAAAACACCGUCGUUUUAACCUUCUCCGAUCACUGUUACAGUGGUGAACGGUUACGUGUAAUUACCAACUGGGUUGUUGAAUAAACUCAUUAAACAAAGUCUCUGUUUGAAAAGCUGAAUUUUUCAACUGUUUGGUGAAAGCAAAAAUCUUGAAUAGCCGAUCCUAACUAAUUUUUGUCACACCUCCUUUUCACUACCCCCGCAAGGGGUAUAAGGGAGUUUUUCCAAUUAAAGUGACAAUCUAAACGGGAUUAUCUAUUUAUAAUUCAGAGUCGUCAUUUGGGAUAAUUUAUGGUGUCCCGAGUCACCGGUUUAAAUCCCGAAUCGAGGAAAGAUUGACUCUGUUUUACAGUCCACAAAACACAGAAAUCGGGGUAAGGAAUUUUAUUAACCUGGGAGAAGGUGUUAGACAUUCUCGAGUUCCGUGAUUUUAGCACGGUCGCUCAACUGCUAUUAUUGCCCUAUUAUCUGAUUUUAAUACACUUUUAAACCUAUGUGCAUUUUUACUUUAAAACCGCUUUUAUUUAUUAUUUUUUAGGAAGAUUCAACGUUAUUUAAAAUACGCCUUUAACCACGCCACAAGAAAUGCACCCAUGGCCCAGGACACAUUUUAUUUAACGUUGUUGAGAAUUGGAGUUGGGUCACAUGAAAUGCACACCCGAGUUUAAGGAAAUUAAUUUAAAUAGCGCGCCUAAAGCGACUGCGCACUUCCAAGUUUGCGAGGGCCAUGGAAAAUUCAACUAAUGGCACACCUCGAUUUCUAAAGAGUUAUUAUUUUUCUAAGUUAAGAUUAUUGUAAGUUACGAAGGAUAUGGAAUUAUUGUGGAAGAAAUGAGUGAUUUUAGCUAUUAUGAAUUUAUUUUAAAAGAUACUUAAAACUAAAGUUAUUGUUACAACCCAACAAUUCACGCUUAUAUCUUCUUACUAAUUGAAAUACAUUGUUAAAGCAAAACACUUAUUUUAGUUAAAAAAACUUUUAGCAUGGGAAAUGAUUCACUGCUUAGAAGAACAGAUGCAAAUAUCAUAUAAACUAAACAAAGCUUUAAUGACACACCCGAACAUGAAAUAAACCAAACGAAAAGGAUUUCCACGCCAAACCAAUUAGCAUUCUUCAUUUUUAUAGUUUUGGGGUUAAAAAAAUUAAGCGCUUACAAUCCUUAACAACAAAGUUAAUGGAACACAUAAUAUUCCACCACACAAUACGAUAGAAAUUUACCAACACAAACAAUCCGAAAGACAACCAUAACAGAUUGAGAAAUUUAACCAAGCAUGAUCUUCCGAGCAAAAUAGUAAAGAAGAAAACAACGGACCUUUGAAACCUUUUAAUAUAUUAAAGAUCUUCCAACUGGUUUACAAGAAGAACGCGACAUGUAGUUGAACAUGAGCAGACCGUAAGCAGGAGACCACAACGGAACCUCGAUUCUACCCGUAAACCUCAAACUACGACCUCAAACGACAUCAACACCUCAAUUUCGAUACAACUCGGCAGAAACAAAUUUCAGCAGUUUCGACGACUAUCGCUGGUUUUAUGUUCGUUCGACGUCGAUGGUGUGACUCUGGCAAAACAAAGAAGUCGAGGGGAAAGAAAGGUCAGAAACAGCGGCUAAGCACAAGAGUGAUAGUCAUAGCCGUCGCCGGUCAUCACCUCCGGCAACGGCAACCAUGGAAAGGGUGAGAGCUGGCCGGUUUCCGGCAACGGCAGCUAAGAAGCUUGAAAGUCUGGUGUGUCACUGUUUUCUGGCGUUCUUUGUGUGUGUGUACGUUUAUAUGGGUGUGUGUUGUUUUGGGUGCUCAAGGUUUGAAGAUGGUGAAGAUGGUGAAGAACGAUGGGGGAGGUCGUGUAUCUGAUUCUCUAAAGAAGAAGUAGGACGAUCGGAAGGGAUCCUUCUAAAACGGCGGAUAAUUUUUUUU